rnacentral:tRNA from 1 species
GCCCGAGUGGCUCAAUCGGUUAAGCAUCCGACUUGGGCUCAGGUCAUGAUCUCGACGUUUGUGGGUUCCAGCCCCGCGUCGGGCU